UAUCAGCUUGUGCAAUAAGAGGAGUGAACAGGAAACUAAGGAUGAUUUCCAUUGGUAUAAAUAAUAAUAGAUGACAGGAGAAAUUAUAAGCUGAUCCUAAUCAGCUGAAUGAACCUUUAUGGUCAAAUAUGGCUGUACAAAUAUAAUACUGGGCUUGGAGUAGGAAAAUUACUGUUUCAAUUCAAUUGAAAAUGGGAAAAGCUAUUAGUCUGAAACAUCAUCCAACAAGAUUUCUUUGCUUACCUUAUUGAAUUUUUGCAGUGGAAAUCACAGGGGUUGAAAGACAGUGACAGUUUG
rnacentral:lncRNA from 1 species